rnacentral:rRNA from 1 species
GACAGAGGGGGCAAGCGUUGCUCGGAAUUACUGGGCGUAAAGGGCGCGUAGGCGGGAUGGCAAGUCGGUCGUGAAAUCCUUCGGCUCAACCGAAGAACGUCGAUCGAUACUGCUGUUCUUGAGGGUUGCAGAGGAGACUGGAAUCCCCGGUGUAGCGGUGAAAUGUGUAGAGAUCGGGAGGAACACCGGUGGCGAAGGCGGGUCUCUGGGCAAUUCCUGACGCUGAGGCGCGAAAGCGUGGGUAGCAAACAGG